CCCAGACUCCUGCGGGAGGCAGCAGUGGGGAAUAUUGCACAAUGGGGGAAACCCUGAUGCAGCGACGCCGCGUGAAGGAAGAAGUAUCUCGGUAUGUAAACUUCUAUCGGCAGGGAAGAAAACGGACGGUACCUGACUAAGAAGCCCCGGCUAACUACGUGCCAGCAGCCGCGGUAAUACGUAGGGGGCGAGCGUUAUCCGGAUUUACUGGGUGUAAAGGGAGCGUAGACGGCUGGGCAAGCCUGAUGUGAAAGGCGGGGGCGCAACCCUCGGACUGCAUUGGGAACUGUCCGGCUGGAGCGCCGGAGGGGUAAGCGGAAUUCCUGGUGUAGCGGUGAAAUGCGUAGAUAUUAGAAGGAACACCGGUGGCGAAGGCGGCUUACUGGACGGCGACUGACGUUGAUGCUCGAAAGCGUGGGGAGCGAACAGGGUUUAGAUACCUUGGUUGUCCACGCUGUUAUACGGUGUAUAACAGGUUUUGGCCAUCAAAGGAUGGCUGGUGCCGAAGCCAACGCAUUAAGUAUACCACGUGGGGAGUACGUUCGCAGGAAUGAAACUCAAAGGAAUUGACGGGGACCCGCACAAGCGGUGGAGCAUGUGGUUUAAUUAGAAGCAACGCGAAGAACCUUACCAAGCCUUGACAUCCCAUCGAACGGAGCGCAGCGGCUCCCUCCCUUCGGGGCGGUGGUGACAGGUGGUGCAUGGUUGUCGUCAGCUCGUGUCGUGAGAUGUUGGGUUAAGUCCCGCAACGAGCGAACCCCUGUCUUCAGUAGCCAGCACUUUGGGUGGGCACUCUGGAGAGACUGCCGGGGAUGACCCGGAGGAAGGCGGGGAUGACGUCAAAUCAUCAUGCCCCUUAUGGCUUGGGCUACACACGUGCUACAAUGGCGCAUACAAAGGGAUGCGGAGGGGCGACCCCGAGCCAACCCCAAAAAAGGCGCCCCAGUUCGGAUUGCAGCCUGCAACUCGGCUGCAUGAAGCUGGAAUCGCUAGUAAU
rnacentral:rRNA from 1 species